UACGUAGGCAGCGAGCGUUGUUCGGAAUUAUUGGGCGUAAAGAGCUCGUAGGCGGCUCAGUAAGUCAGGUGUGAAAACUCCAGGCUCAACCUGGAGACGCCACCUGAUACUGCUGUGGCUAGAGUCCGGUAGGGGAGCAUGGAAUUCCUGGUGUAGCGGUGAAAUGCGCAGAUAUCAGGAGGAACACCAGUGGCGAAGGCGGUGCUCUGGGCCGGAACUGACGCUGAGGAGCGAAAGCGUGGGGAGCAAACAGG
rnacentral:rRNA from 1 species